UCUGUAUAUUUAAUAUUUCAUUAUAAGACUUCAAAAUAAUUCAACAUGUACAAAGAUUUACAACAUACAACAUAUCUAUAUACUGCAAUGAUUUCUUCAUUCUUCCUUUUAUAUACACAUGUAUAACAAAUCAUACUUUUAGAUAUUGCUUUUUUACUGAAAUCCUAAAGUUUAAUGACAAAUGAUAUCAAAACUACAACUGAUGUGUUGAGACGACAUAAAUGCCC
rnacentral:lncRNA from 1 species